GUUUUUCUUUCCGUUUUGCACCAAAUUGUGAAUAAUGGAACAUGAAAAUGCAAUUAUUCUCUCAGCGCACAUGGGAGCACACACAUGGAUAUGGCAGAAGGAGCGGAAACCACAGGCAAACAACAAAGCUGCAGCUCAGUAAACAUCUGGAGGGCAGAAGGAGAUCAUCGCCGUGAACUUUCAAAACUCAACGUCUCGAUAAUCGGAACUUCGGCUGACUGGAACUGGCACCGUCCCCGUCGAAGUGCUGGCCAUGGACGAAAAGAUGACGUUGUAUUACUCGGGCGGUGACAAAAGAAAAGCCGGAGUCGGCUUCAUGGUACACCAUCGGUUCUCUGCGAGCGUCGUCGCCUUCCAACCUAUAUCUGACCGUAUCGCCAUCCUAACUGUCAACGGUACAAUCAAGCUACACAUCAUUGUGGUCUAUGCACGACCAAAAUGAACACCGACGCGUCUAAAGAUGAUUUCUAUGAUCGCCUGCAAGACGUCCUGGACUCCCUACCUCAAACCGGCAUGAUC
ensembl:lncRNA